AUACGGCCCAGACUCCUACGGGAGGCAGCAGUGGGGAAUAUUGCACAAUGGGCGGAAGCCUGAUGCAGCAACGCCGCGUGCGGGAUGACGGCCUUCGGGUUGUAAACCGCUUUCGCCUGUGACGAAGCGUGAGUGACGGUAAUGGGUAAAGAAGCACCGGCUAACUACGUGCCAGCAGCCGCGGUGAUACGUAGGGUGCGAGCGUUGUCCGGAUUUAUUGGGCGUAAAGGGCUCGUAGGUGGUUGAUCGCGUCGGAAGUGUAAUCUUGGGGCUUAACCCUGAGCGUGCUUUCGAUACGGGUUGACUUGAGGAAGGUAGGGGAGAAUGGAAUUCCUGGUGGAGCGGUGGAAUGCGCAGAUAUCAGGAGGAACACCAGUGGCGAAGGCGGUUCUCUGGGCCUUUCCUGACGCUGAGGAGCGAAAGCGUGGGGAGCGAACAGGCUUAGAUACCCUGGUAGUCCACGCUGUAAACGGUGGGUACUAGGUGUGGGGUCCAUUCCACGGGUUCCGUGCCGUAGCUAACGCUUUAAGUACCCCGCCUGGGGAGUACGGCCGCAAGGCUAAAACUCAAAGGAAUUGACGGGGCCCCGCACAAGCGGCGGAGCAUGCGGAUUAAUUCGAUGCAACGCGUAGAACCUUACCUGGGUUUGACAUGGAUCGGGAGUGCUCAGAGAUGGGUGUGCCUCUUUUGGGGUCGGUUCACAGGUGGUGCAUGGCUGUCGUCAGCUCGUGUCGUGAGAUGUUGGGUUAAGUCCCGCAACGAGCGCAACCCUUGUUCACUGUUGCCAGCACGUUAUGGUGGGGACUCAGUGGAGACCGCCGGGGUCAACUCGGAGGAAGGUGGGGAUGACGUCAAGUCAUCAUGCCCCUUAUGUCCAGGGCUUCACGCAUGCUACAAUGGCUGGUACAGAGAGUGGCGAGCCUGUGAGGGUGAGCGAAUCUCGGAAAGCCGGUCUCAGUUCGGAUUGGGGUCUGCAACUCGACCUCAUGAAGUCGGAGUCGCUAGUAAUCGCAGAUCAGCAACGCUGCGGUGAAUACGUU
rnacentral:rRNA from 1 species